rnacentral:rRNA from 1 species
CAAUAGCGUAUAUUUAAGUUGUUGCAGUUAAAAAGCUCGUAGUUGGAUUUCGGGCUGGCUUCAGCGGUCUCGCUUUGCGUUUGUACUGCUGCAGCCUGCCUUCUUGCUGGGGACGGGCCUACGGGCUUAAUUGCUUGGGGUCCGGAAUCAGCGAUGUUACUUUGAGUAAAUUAGAGUGUUCAAAGCAAGCCUACGCUCUGAAUAUAAUAGCAUGGGAUAACACGACAGGACUCUGGCCUAUCGUGUUGGUCUGUAGGACCGGAGUAAUGAUUAAGAGGAACAGUCGGGGGCAUUCGUAUUCCAUUGUCAGAGGUGAAAUUCUUAGAUUUAUGGAAGACGAACAUCUGCGAAAGCAUUUGCCAAGGAUGUUUUCAUUGA